UACGAAGGGGGCUAGCGUUGCUCGGAAUUACUGGGCGUAAAGCGCACGUAGGCGGAUUGUUAAGUCGGGGGUGAAAUCCUGGAGCUCAACUCCAGAACUGCCUUUGAUACUGCAAAUCUCGAGUCCGGAAGAGGUGAGUGGAAUUCCUAGUGUAGAGGUGAAAUUCGUAGAUAUUAGGAAGAACACCAGUGGCGAAGGCGGCUCACUGGUCCGGUACUGACGCUGAGGUGCGAAAGCGUGGGGAGCAAACAGG
rnacentral:rRNA from 1 species